rnacentral:rRNA from 1 species
UACGUAUGGUGCAAGCGUUAUCCGGAUUUACUGGGCGUAAAGGGAGCGCAGGCGGCGCGCCAAGUCUGAUGUGAAACCCCGGGGCUCAACCCCGGGCAUGCAUUGGAAACUGGCGGGCUGGAGUGCCGGAGAGGUAAGCGGAAUUCCUAGUGUAGCGGUGAAAUGCGUAGAUAUUAGGAGGAACACCAGUGGCGAAGGCGGCCUGCUGGACCGCGACUGACGUUGAGGCUCGAAAGCGUGGGGAGCGAACAGG